UACGAAGGGGGCUAGCGUUGCUCGGAAUGACUGGGCGUAAAGGGCGCGUAGGCGGCUUGCACCGUCAGAUGUGAAAUUCCUGGGCUUAACCUGGGGGCUGCAUUUGAUACGUGUGGGCUUGAGUGCGGAAGAGGGUCGUGGAAUUCCCAGUGUAGAGGUGAAAUUCGUAGAUAUUGGGAAGAACACCCGGUGGCGAAGGCGGCGACCUGGUCCGUGACUGACGCUGAGGCGCGAAAGCGUGGGGAGCAAACAGG
rnacentral:rRNA from 1 species